rnacentral:rRNA from 1 species
CACGGGGGGAGCAAGCGUUGUUCGGAAUCACUGGGCGUAAAGGGCGUGUAGGCGGUCAGGUUAGUGAGAUGUGAAACGCCCCGGCUCACCCGGGGACCUGCAUCUCAAACUGCCUGGCUUGAGUAUGGGAGAGGAGAGUGGAAUUCCUGGUGUAGCGGUGAAAUGCGCAGAUAUCAGGAAGAACACCCGUGGCUAAGGCGGCUCUCUAGUACGGUACUGACGCUGAGACGCGAAAGCGUGGGGAGCGAACAGG